GUCAUGAUUGGGUCAUGGUUUGCCACAUAGGCCCAUUAUUCAUGCCCUAUACCACCCCCCUCAUUAAAUCACGGUGGUUGGCGUGGAUUAAACCACGGCAACCACGUCCCCCUUUUUUCCAUUAUUCACGUAAACCCUAACCCCAACAUCAAGAAGAACAAUAUGUAUUUUUCAUUCACGUCGCAGUCUUUUGAUCGUAAUCUGCUGGUUUUGCUUUUUUUCCAAAGUUUUAUACAGGUCCAAAUGGAUUGGAAUUGUUAUUUUAAUAACCCGAGUUUGAGGAUGAAGUGAUGGAGAUUCCGGAAUUGAAGCACCCAAAUGGUAGAGAAAA